rnacentral:rRNA from 1 species
UACGGGGGGGGGCAAGCGUUGUUCGGAAUUACUGGGCGUAAAGGGCUCGUAGGCGGCCAACUAAGUCGGAUGUGAAAUCCCCAAGCUUAACUUGGGAACUGCAUCCGAUACUGGAUGGCUUGAAUCCGGGAGAGGGAUGCAGAAUUCCAGGUGUAGCGGUGAAAUGCGUAGAUAUUCGCAAGAACACCAGUGGCGAAGGCGGCUCACUGGCCCGGUACUGACGCUGAGGUGCGAAAGCGUGGGGAGCAAACAGG